rnacentral:rRNA from 1 species
UACGUAGGGUGCGAGCGUUAAUCGGAAUUACUGGGCGUAAAGCGUGCGCAGGCGGUUUUGUAAGCCAGAUGUGAAAUCCCCGGCUCAACCUGGGAAUGGCAUUUGGGACUGCAAGGCUGGAGUGCGGCAGAGGAGACUGGAAUUCCUGGUGUAGCAGUGAAAUGCGUAGAUAUCAGGAGGAGCACCGGUGGCGAAGGCGGUUCUCCGGGCCGAUACUGACGCUGAGGAGCGAAAGCGUGGGGAGCGAACAGG